rnacentral:rRNA from 1 species
UACGUAGGGGGGCAAGCGUUGUCCGGAUUUAUUGGGCGUAAAGAGCGUGUAGGCGGCCAGGUAGGUCAGCUGUGAAAACUCGAGGCUCAACCUCGAGACGCCGGUUGAAACCAUCUGGCUAGAGUCCGGAAGAGGAGAGUGGAAUUCCUGGUGUAGCGGUGAAAUGCGCAGAUAUCAGGAGGAACACCGGUGGCGAAGGCGGGUCUCUGGGCAGUAACUGACGCUGAGGAGCGAAAGCGUGGGGAGCGAACAGG